GAUGAAGAACGUAGUGAAAUGCGAUAAGUAGUGUGAAUUGCAGACUUUAGUGAAUCAUCGAAUCUUUGAACGCACAUUGCGCCCCUUGGUAUUCCAUUGGGCAUGCCUGUUCGAGCGUCAUUUACACCCUCAAGCCUAGCUUGGUGUUGGGCGUUGUCCGCAAGGACUCGCCUCAAAUUCAUUGGCAGCGGCAUCGUCAGCUUCUCGCGCAGCACAUUGCGCUUCAGAAGGCUUCUGGCGGGCUCGCGUCCACUAAGAUACCACCCAGUUUGACCGCGAAUCAGGUAGGGAUACCCGCUGAACUUAAGCAUAUCAAUAAGCGGAGGA
rnacentral:misc_RNA from 1 species